CAGGGAAUUUUGCGCAAUGGGCGAAAGCCUGACGCAGCGACACCGCGUGGGGGAUGAAGGCUUUAGGGUUGUAAACCCCUUUUCUUGGGGAAGAGGAAGGACGGUACCCAAGGAAUAAGGAUCGGCUAACUACGUGCCAGCAGCCGCGGUAAUACGUAGGAUCCGAGCGUUGUCCGGAUUUACUGGGCGUAAAGGGCGAGUAGGCGGCCUGUUAAGUCUCAUGUGAAAUCUCCCGGCUUAACUGGGAGGGGUCAUGGGAAACUGGCAAGCUUGAGGGCAGCAGAGGGAAGCGGAAUUCCCGGAGUAGUGGUGAAAUGCGUAGAUACCGGGAGGAACACCAGUGGCGAAGGCGGCUUCCUGGGCUGUUCCUGACGCUGAGGCGCGAAAGCGUGGGGAGCAAACCGGAUUAGAUACCCGCGUAGUCC
rnacentral:rRNA from 1 species